rnacentral:rRNA from 1 species
AGCUCCAAUAGCGUAUAUUAAAGUUGCUGCAGUUAAAAAGCUCGUAGUUGGAUUUGUGGCGCGGCCGUCCGGCGGGGCUCUUUGACUAGGGCUGUUUGUCUGGUUUUCGACCGCACCAUUCUCGGGUAGCGUGUGGCUGGCAUUAGGUUGUCGGCUUCUUCGCGCCCGUCGUUUACUGUGAAAAAAUUAGAGUGUUCAAAGCAGGCUUAGGCCGUUGGAUACAUUAGCAUGGAAUAAUGAGAUAGGGCCACGACGGUCUAUUUUGUUGGUUUGCACGUUGUGGUAAUGAUUAACAGGAACGGUUGGGGGUAUUCGUAUUCAAUUGUCAGAGGUGAAAUUCUUGGAUUUAUGGAAGACGAACUACUGCGAAAGCAUUUACCAAGGAUGUUUUCAUUAAUCA